rnacentral:rRNA from 1 species
CCUACGGGAGGCAGCAGUGAGGAAUAUUGGUCAAUGGCCGGAAGGCUGAACCAGCCAAGCCGCGUGAAGGACGAAGGUGCCAAGCAUUGUAAACUUCUUUUGUCAAGGGACAAAAGUAGGCUCGAGAGCCUGUCCGAGGGUACUUGAAGAAAAAGCAUCGGCUAAGUCCGUGCCAGCAGCCGCGGUAAUACGGAGGAUGCGAGCGUUAUCCGGAUUUAUUGGGGUUAAAGGUUGCGGUGGGGGGGUUUUAAGUACGCGGUUAAAGGCCGGGGCUCAACCCUGAGCGAGCCGUUGAAACGGGCUGUCUUGAGAGGGCGUGAGGUAUGCGGAAUGCGCAGUGUAGCGGUGAAAUGCUUAGAUAUUGCGCAGAACUCCGAUUGCGAAGGCAGCAUACCGGCGGCGAUCUGACGCUGAGGCACGAAAGCGUGGGUAUCGAACAGGAUUAGAUACCCCUGUAGUC